rnacentral:rRNA from 1 species
GACGAACGCUGGCGGCGUGCCUAAUACAUGCAAGUAGAACGCACAGUUUAUACCGUAGCUUGCUACACCAUAGACUGUGAGUUGCGAACGGGUGAGUAACGCGUAGGUAACCUGCCUGGUAGCGGGGGAUAACUAUUGGAAACGAUAGCUAAUACCGCAUAAUAUUAAUUAUUGCAUGAUAAUUAAUUGAAAGGUGCAAUUGCACCACUACCAGAUGGACCUGCGUUGUAUUAGCUAGUAGGUGAGGUAACGGCUCACCUAGGCGACGAUACAUAGCCGACCUGAGAGGGUGAUCGGCCACACUGGGACUGAGACACGGCCCAGACUCCUACGGGAGGCAGCAGUAGGGAAUCUUCGGCAAUGGACGAAAGUCUGACCGAGCAACGCCGCGUGAGUGAAGAAGGUUGUCGGAUCGUAAAGCUCUGUUGUAAGAGAAGAACGGGUGUGAGAGUGGAAAGUUCACACUGUGACGGUAUCUUACCAGAAAGGGACGGCUAACUACGUG